rnacentral:lncRNA from 1 species
AGAAAUUUGGCCAUUUGGGAGGGAAAGAAUUUUUUUCCUGUUUGGAGUGGUGGUUGAAGCAAAGGAAUACCUCCAUCAAUAGAAUUUGGUGAGACAAACCAGUCAUAACCAAAUGGAUUAAAAUCAAUAUCAAACGCAUGUUCAAUGGUCCCCUCUAGUUAAAGGUAUGCUGAAAUGUAAUGUAGAUGUGACAUUCUUCCCAAAUGAGAACAACUUUGGUUUUGGGAUUGAGAGACACAUG